AACGAACGCUGGCGGCGUGCCUAACACAUGCAAGUCGUGCGAGAAAGUUCUCUUCGGGGGGCUAGUAAAGCGGCGCACGGGUGAGUAACACGUAGGUAAUCUACCUCUAAGUCCGGAAUAACCAGCUGAAAGGCUGGCUAAUGCCGGAUAAGACCACGGCCUCUGCGGGGGCCGCGGCCAAAGGCGGCCUCUUCAUGAAAGCUAUUGCUGAGAGAUGAGCCUGCGUACCAUUAGCUAGUUGGUGAGGUAACGGCUCACCAAGGCUGUGAUGGUUAGCUGGUCUGAGAGGAUGACCAGCCACACUGGGACUGAGACACGGCCCAGACUCCUACGGGAGGCAGCAGUGGGGAAUAUUGCGCAAUGGGGGAAACCCUGACGCAGCGACGCCGCGUGGGUGAUGAAGGCCUUCGGGUCGUAAAGCCCUGUCGUAGGGGAAGAACUGGUUGCAGGCUAAUAUCCUGCAGCCUUGACGGUACCCUACAAGAAAGCACCGGCUAACUCCGUGCCAGCCGCCGCGGUAAGAC
rnacentral:rRNA from 1 species